CGGGAGUUUGUGAGUUUGAGGCCAGCUUGAGCUACAUAGUGAGUUCAAGACCAGCCUAAAAAAAAAGAGGAGCAUUAAACUGAAGACCACAGGCAGGCCUUUCUGAAUACAGGGUGCUGUGCAGCUGCAGAGUUGCAUACUCACAGGACACCCCUGCACACACAGGGUGGUCAGAGGACUAGAAGGAUGAGGCCCAUGAGCAGGCUCCUCCUUUUGCUGGGCUUCUUCACACAAGAAGAAUCCAGAAGAUGAGGAGAAAACAUGGUGCUGCUUCUGAGAAAGGGGGAUGGCCAAGGACAAAUCCUUUUAGGGUUCCUAUUGGUCCUGAUCUGUCUAGGGUUGGAUAUCGGAGGGCUUGAGAGUCAAAAAAAGAAGAGGCCUGAACACAGCCAGGAAACCAAGCACUCCAGUCGAUAGAGCCAAAGUCUCUGAAGAAGAGGCAAGGGCAGUUGGAGGGAAGAGGAGAGGAAAAACAGAAGUCGUUCUGGGCACAAGAAACUGAGCAGGUAGGAGAGGCCCUGAGGAUACUGUCAGGUGAAAGGCUGAAGACCAAGACCAGACCAGGCCACAACAAGCCUUUAUUAGGGGAAUAGAUCUGCUGGGCUGUCUCUGAACAAAGGAGAGACAAAAGCAAUACAGCCGGGGCAGGGAGAGUCUUUUAUAGAGACUGGGGUGGGGUUUGUAGGGGCUGAGGUGGGGUUGAGUGAGGUAGUGACUAGGGAAUGGAGGAGCCCAUGAUGUCACUAGAUGGUAGGAGGUGAGUGAGUAUUAGGUUACUUUCUAGGCGGGAACAGGGGCAUACUGGGAAGAAGGGUUUAUUCUUUGGUGGGAGCAACCAUCUUGGCAUGACAUCACACAGGGGAGGGGGCAAGGCACCAUAGGAAGAGGGCAGCUACUGUACAUAAUAGCUGCUGAGGUAGUGGGAGACCUAUCAGAUACCACAAGGAAAGGGCAUUGGAGAUCCCUUUUGAGUUUGCUCCUGUCCAAGACGGGAGGGGUGCAGUUCCCCAAAAGCCAGUCAGGAGCUUUGGUAGGCAUGGGUACAACCUGUUACACUCUGGGCUACCCGAUCCCACUUUUCUGUUAUCUCUGGGAUACAGGCCAGCUCCAUAUGCAAGGCCAGGCAAGACAGUUUAGUGCAAAAGACUGCCUUUGGGAGACAGAGGAAAUGCCACAAACAGGCCAGCAAGUGCCUCUCCUUACCCAGGAUGGGCAUGCCAUAAGAUAUUUGUGUUUGGAAGUCUAGGCCUCAGUUGUCACCUGUCUAUUCAGGCUCAGAGGUAAGGUGAGCCCUGGAGCAGAGACCUUCACCACCACUGCUCACCCACAUCCUAUGUUGGAAGUGAAGCUGCCCAGUGUAGCCCAUCUCUUGGGGACUUCCCGUAGCCCAAGGUAGCUCCCCAUUCUUGCCAGAAGACCUCUCGGAGGCAAUGCUCCAACCCUGG
rnacentral:lncRNA from 1 species